CAGUAGCCGCGGUAAUACGUAGGUGGCAAGCGUUGUCCGGAAUUAUUGGGCGUAAAGCGCGCGCAGGCGGAUAGGUCAGUCUGUCUUAAAAGUUCGGGGCUUAACCCCGUGAUGGGAUGGAAACUGCCAAUCUAGAGUAUCGGAGAGGAAAGUGGAAUUCCUAGUGUAGCGGUGAAAUGCGUAGAUAUUAGGAAGAACACCAGUGGCAAAGGCGACUUUCUGGACGAAAACUGACGCUGAGGCGCGAAAGCCAGGGGAGCGAACGGGAUUAGAUACCCCAGUAGUCCCUGUCUCUUAUACC
rnacentral:rRNA from 1 species